UACGGGGGGUGCGAGCGUUGUCCGGAAUCACUGGGCGUAAAGGGCGCGUAGGCGGUUUGAUAAGGGUGUGGUGAAAGUCCGGGGCUCAACCCCGGAUCUGCCGUGCCGACUGUCAAACUCGAGGGCUGUAGAGGCAGACGGAAUUCCAGGUGUAGCGGUGGAAUGCGUAGAGAUCCGGAGGAAGACCGGUGGCGAAGGCGGUCUGCUGGGCAGUUUCUGACACUGAUGCGCGACAGCGUGGGGAGCAAAUAGG
rnacentral:rRNA from 1 species